UACACAAGUGGACAAAUGAAGCGCUAGCAGAUAUAGUGCGUCAACUUAGGUAUAUUUUAUGUACAUUAUUUUUUUACGAUGAUCAUACGAUGCGUGAAGAUGCUUUGCUUUCAUCACAACGGUUUAUGUAAUUAUUUAAUUUUGCAGGCCGUACGAUGGAAAUACAGAUCAAGCGUACAAGCAGUGGUACUGCAUGAACACACGUGCUAGCCUGGCCAGUCAGCCAGCUACUAUACCAACACAUCUCACACAAGAGGAGCAGGCGCGGAGACAUGUUGAGCUGCAUGCAGCUUACUAUCGUG
rnacentral:lncRNA from 1 species